AUGAGAAGGCCCCUUUUCGAGCGUAUCAUACAUGCACUAGGAGAGUGCUCUCCAGAGUUCACGCAAAGGAAAGAUGCUCUUGACCGUGAUGGACUAUCUCCAUUGCAGAAAUGCACAUCAGCUAUUCGCCAAUUGGCAUAUGGUACUCCCGCUGACGCUCUCGAUGAGUACCUGAAGAUUGCCGAGUGCACAUCAAUUAAGUGCUUAAAGCUGUUCGUCAAAGGCGUGAUUCAUAUAUUUGGUGAUGAGUAUAUGCGAAAACCCAAUGUCAACGAUGUGCAGCGCUUACUUGAUAUUGGAGAGAGUCGUGGGUUUCCUGGCAUGUUAGGAAGCCUCGACUGUAUGCACUGGCGUUGGGACACAUGUCCCAUGGAGUGGAAGGGACAAUUCACCAGUGGGUAUAAAGGCGUCCCUACUCUUAUUCUAGAGGCGGUUGCUUCUCAUGAUCUUUGGAUAUGGCAUGCAUUUUUUGGUGUUGCUGGAUCCAACAAUGACAUCAACAUGCUUAAUCAGUCAACAUUGUUCCUUGAGCAACUGAAAGGGCAAGCUCCUCGAGUGAACUAUAAUGUCAACGAGAAGGAAUAUCAACUUGGUUAUUACCUUGUAGAUGGAAUAUACCCAGAGUGGGCAGCAUUCGUGAAGUCGAUACCGAUGGCUCAAAUAGAAAAAUAG
rnacentral:rRNA from 1 species